rnacentral:lncRNA from 1 species
CUCUCGGUUCCGGCCCUUGCUAUGGAUUGCCUUAAAUUUUUGACUUCCUCUUCUAGUUCCCUCUUUUUCAGCAGCAUAUCCUGAAACAUCUGGUGGAACCACCGGCGCUCUUCCUCUGAUUCUCGAAGCCUCCUCCUCAGGACCUCAGACUCUGCCUUGGCAUCUUUGACCACCUGCUGCUCGUGGACUAGCUGAAUCUUCAGCCACUGCAGUUCGGCCUCCCCUCGCCCAAGAACCACCGACAGUUCUGCCAUAGUCUCCCUCA